UUACCUACCUGGCGCCGGGGCCUCGUUGAUCACCGGAAACGAACCCCCAGGGAGAGGCGUGGGCAUUGCACUGCGCUGGCGUUUACCCCUACCAAAACCCGAAAUUGGGGCAGGUGGGGCAUGUAAAUUGC
rnacentral:snRNA from 1 species